CCACGCGCACCACGACCACCACGACCACCACGCGCCCGCCGCCGACCGCGAAGAUGGAACCGACUAAACUGGAUGCUUCCAUCGUUUAUGUGAUGAUCUCUCGCUCAUCUAUUUACUAUACUGGUGAAGGUUCUGAAUAUUCAUUUAUAUUGUGGAUAAAAUACAAUAGUUUUAUAUUCAAAAUGCUUGAACCUUGUAAUGUUAGCGUGAACAAAAAUGAACCUUAAUUCUUUUAUAAUAAACCUCAUAGAGGAGGUACCAUUUAUCAGUGAGAAGUGUAUGUAAUCCACGUCGAUAGUUACGAAUUUAAAAAAAAUAUUUCCCCUUUUUGUUUACGUGUGAUGUAAGGCACUCUUGGAAAGGGCAGCUAAAUAUCAUAUUGGAUUUUAUUGAAAUUUUAUUAAAAAAAAAAAGUUUAACGCCACUUGUAAUAGUGGUUUUAUGUGAUGUGUAGUUUUAUAGAUGCUAAGUUACAAACAACAUGUCUUUUUACGAGUUUAUUUUUAAUUGGAAAUACAUAAAAAAAUUACGUCUAAUAUUAAAAUAAAAUAUGUAACAGUUUUAUUUACAUUAUGUAAUAUGGAGGUGUUUUAUGAUCAACUACCGGUAUAAACAUGUGUGUUUGUAACUAAUUUUAAUAGUGAUAUAAUGUUAUAGUAUAAAAAAUAUUUUACGAUUAGUGUGUUGACUAUAGUGUUUUUUUUUUAUUUUUUAUUAUUAUUUGCUUUGAACGUUAGUUGUGCUCAUGAUAAUAAUAGACUAGAUUCUGACCGACAUUUUUCUAUACCAGUCUCAGAAGUUAAAAUGUCAAUUUGAUACAGCAGCGAAAUCUUGAUUGCAAGAACUUAUAUGAACUAAUUUUCUUAUAGAUUUAUACCAAAAUUAUUUUAAUUUUUGUUCAUAAUGUUUUAUACAUUAAUUUCGCGAAAUUAUUAAAUUGAAAUAUUAGAUUAAGAGAUAGAUUGAUACUAUGACAACGCAUUACCAUAUUCUGCGUACUUGCACACACAAAUUACAUACUAUAAAAUAUGUAUAUGCAACAACGCUUUCCUAUAUAUAAUGGAAGUUUUAUAUUAAAAUUAUACACCUCCUUACAAAAUGUAUGCCCCAAUAUUAUUUACGUAUUAUAUUUUUUACCUGCACUUCACCAAGAGGAGACCACUCGUUCCUUCUUGAAGAAAUGUAUUCUUAAUAAUUUUAUUUAAACCAUUUGAAGCUUGCGUGAUUAUAAUUAACGGACGCCGUUUUAUAAAUUUUUGUUACUCCAUACAUUGUCCAUUUGUCAGCAAAUGAAUAUAUUAUAUUAUGCUUAUUAAUAAGGGGCUAAGUUAUGCGCUCAACAGAUCACAACUCACGUUCCAAGCAAGACGUACUGAGAUCGAUUUUGGGGCGUUAUUUCUCUAAACUUAUUUCUAACAUUAAAAUUUCAUUUUAAUAGUACAGCGAAAUCCUUAUUCUAAAGACCAAUAUGAACUAAAUUUUUAAUAGAUUUCAGUAAAAAUUAUUAUAAAUUUAGUUUAUGAUGGCUCACAAAAGAGUAAUUUUGCGAAAUUAUCAAAUAAAAAUAUUAGAAGUUUAAAGAAAUGACGCCUUAGAAUCUGCCCUACUGUCAUUGUAUAAUAAAUCUAUAAGUUUAAAAAUUCUUUUGUUAAGAAUGUAAUUAUUGCGAUCUCCUGUAGAAUUGGAUUUUACAAUCAUAAUUGAAGGAAGCAAGAUUAGUAAGAAUAUAUGGCUUUUGGCCUCGUUUCUCUUUGGCUAACUCAUAAAGUAUCUGACUUUGGUAUAUAGAGUUUGGGAUCAAUUUUUCUGAACUUAUUUCUAUAAAUAAUAUUUCAAUUAGAUAUUAUAGUGAAGUAUUUAUCUUAUGAACCAAUAUAAAUUAAAUAAAUUCCAAAUAAAUCUAAAUGAAAAUUAUUGUAAAUUUGCCCCCUUAUUCAUAAAAGCUGAAACAUUUUUUACACUGUUAUGUCACUUUCUAAUAACAUUCAAAUUGGGAAUUUAGCACAAAAGAAAGAAACAAAACAGUUCAAUAGCUAAAGUAGGAUUCAUAAGAGGUUUAACGUUUUUAUGAAUAAGGGGGUUAAUUCAUAAUGUCCAUAAAGCAGAAAUAUCGCCUAUCAAAUUAAAAUAUUAGAUUAACAGGUAUACUUAGAGAAAUGGCGCUUUAGAAUGGAACUCAUUACUUUUUAAAUAUAUAAGUCUACAUAUAUAAUUUUAAUUUUAAGACAUGUUAAAAUGAUAUAUUUAGACUAGACUAUAGAUCUAAACUAGACAAUUUUAAUAUUUUUUUAAUAAUUUGCAAUGGUAAUUUGAUGAGUAUGAAUGAGUAUACUUUAUUUGCAUUAUACAAUAUAGGAAAUGAGCAAGGCAAUUUACAAACUCAACGAUACAAUUGUAUAAGUACAGUAAGGAGGUCUUAUUGCUGAGAGCAAUCUAAUUUGAUAUUGAAAUUACUUUUUUUAUCGAUACAUGUCAUAGAGUUUGUGGAGAUCUACCUAACUAUAUAGUAUACUGUAACGAAAAUAGUAAUAAAAAGAAAAAUCUAAAGGAGAUCGUUUUCUUCUUUCAAAUAUUUCAUUCUUAUCAAGACAAUUGAUCUAACUGAUAGAUGAACAAAAAAAUAUAAUUAAAGAUGAACGUUCGAAUUGUAUUAAGUGAUUACGUUAAUCAAUUCCUGCGUUCAAUACUGAUGACAGUAACGCCACGCAAGCUAAAAUGCUUUUCAAUACAAGACUGUGGUGCUUAAUUUAUAUGGCAGUCUGGCAUUUUAGUGCAUUUAGUGGCUUAUUAAGGCUGUAAUUACAAUGUAAAUAUUUUUAACUUUGGAACGACUUGGGUGCCAUGACAUGAUUGUAAAUUUAUUAAAAAUGGUUUUUUUUUCGUUUUUCUAUUAUACCAAAUAUUAUAUGAUUUACUUGAAGCUAGUAAGAAAACUGUGGUAGUUAUUAUAUUUUAUUCCUAUAAUAACUCAUAGAUACAAUGUAGGUUAUUUCAAUACUGUGACAUACGUUCUUAUUGCGUGAUUUUAUUCCCUUAUUUUACUAGACUAGUAAGAAACUAUUCCAUUUUAUUUUGUUUUUACUGAAACUGGAAAUGAUAAGAAAAAUUACUCCUUUUUGAUAUUUGAAAUCAAUCAACAUCUAUUAAUAAAUCGUUAAAAUACA
rnacentral:lncRNA from 1 species